AGAGAGAGAGAGAGAGAGAGAGAGAGAGAGAGAGAGAGAGAGACGUUCAGAAACGGCCCUAUUCCACGGACCAAUUGACGGACCAAAUAAAAAAGGAAGAAAAAAGACGUUCGAUCACAAAUAAAAAUGGGGGAAGAAACGCGGGUCACAGCCGGGUAAAAAACCCAAUUGAAGAACGUCAUUCUCUCUCUCCAUCUGCAGACGAUACUGCUCCAUCUUCUUCCUUCCCUCUCUCACACAAUUAAGUAGUAGACGGAAUAGCUCAUCGAAAGCAGAGGCAAACAGAUCGCUUUGUAUAAGGAUAUCUUCACUAUUAACAGUAUAAGGAUAUCUUCACCAUUGACGAUGAUUGCUUUGUAAGAUCCCUAUUCUUUAGUACCCUUUUGAGAAUUGUUUUGUUUUUGCUAAGUUGUUUUGAUUUGGGUUUUGGGUUUUAGAGUUUGAUUUUAUGUUAUAUUUGUUCAAUUUUAGUGGGGAAGUGUUGAAUUUUCGUGGGGUUUAGAGUUUUAUUUUGAGAAAUUUGGUUUUGAUUCAUUUGAUUUAUAGAUAUUGUUAAAGUUUUGUUUUUUUCAACUAGGUUUGACUUUGGGAGUAGGAUUGUGGUAUUUUUUGUUGGGCGUUUGUUAAAUUGUAGUGAUACUAACUUUUGGCCUGAUGAAUUUAACUUUUAAUGGGGUUUGUGUUUUUAGCUUUUUCUUUUUGGAACAAUGAGAUUAAGGAAGAGUUCUACUCUCUCAUAUUUUGUUCAAUUCAGAGAAACCAACCGAACACUUAUUGGAUGGCUCUUGAAAUUUACCUCUCGAGAAAGCCAAAUUGUUAACAAUUUAUAUUCAAAACUAUAACACUUAAACCAGGCUUGUUGGUUUUGAAAGUAGUAUGGGUAAUGCAUAUAUCUCUGCAUAUUAUCAUACUUCAUUUAUACUGUGACAAAAGGAAACAAGUGUACAACAUUAUUCAUGUAAAUAAUGCAGAAUGGCCCUUCCGGUAUCUCAGAGAAGAUUUUGUGCAACACAUACUUUUUCAACCAGCCACAUAUGUGCAUCAUUAUGGAAUCAGUGCAGAGUAAGAAGUUGAAGGUAGUGUUGUUACGUUAGUUGCAGCAGUUUUGUUCCUCCUGUGGAAUUAAUUAAGAAGCCAAGUCCAUCAUUAUUAAUAUGGCUAAAAUUCAAUAAAUAGUUAAAUAACUAAAAAUAGUAAAAUGCUCUAGAUGCUAAACAUACCCUGCUAUCAUAUACAAACACUUGUCAUAGCCUGCACGCAACAAAGAAAAACAUCACAUGAGUGAUGAAUUAAGAACAAAGAUUUUAGUGACUUUGCUUGGGGCAUUAAUCCCUUAUAUAAGACCAAAAUUGUUUUGUCGUUAUCUACUAGAAUGUCAUUAUAGCCAUGGUGUUUAUUCAAUGCUUCUACAACUAGGUGCGUCUCUAUUUUUCACCUUAUUUUGGUUUCAUGCCUUAAUUUGUUGAAAAAUUGAUAUGUAAUCCUGAUCAUGUUUGCCUGAAGCUGAAGCAAGGUUUCAAAUUUGUGCUGAAGGAGUAACUGAUGUCAAGGACUGAACCUUGAGAAUAACUUUUUCUCCCAAACUACUUCCCUUUCAUUCAUCUGGAAUUCAAGAUCCAUGGUUCUAACAAAAUGUGAUUACUCUGAAUAUUCACCCAAGUGGAAGCGGAUGCACAUUGAAGAGAUCUGUGAAUCAAUAAUGGACAUGUACUGCUUUUUUCUUUCAUAUGUAACACGAUAAAGCUUUUCUUUCUUCUUGUCUUCUUACUUUCUUGUACUAUUAAGGAGAAACAAUGUAUCUUUUCUUCUUCUUUUUUUCAACUUUCUUGUACUACUCAAAGAGAAAUAAUGUUUGGUUUUUACACAAGGUAAAUUCAGAUUUAUACCUUUUGCGCAUUGACAUAGAUUGAUAAUAGUCUUGUAAAGUAAAUUAAUACUCUCAAGUGAAGGUAAUAUAGGUUGGGACGAAGGGAGUAGAUUUUUUGAUCUGCUUUUUAACUCCCACAUUUCUGAAAUCAAUUACAAAAUGGACUAAAGUCUGUUGCUGAUAAUUCAUG
rnacentral:lncRNA from 1 species